UACCAGACUCCUACGGGAGGCAGCAGUGAGGAAUAUUGGUCAAUGGGCGGGAGCCUGAACCAGCCAAGUCGCGUGAGGGAAGACGGUCCUAUGGAUUGUAAACCUCUUUAGGCGGGGAGCAAUGCCGGGCACGCGUGCCCGGAGGGUGAGUACCCGCAGAAUAAGCAUCGGCUAACUCCGUGCCAGCAGCCACGGUAAUACGGAGGAUGCGAGCGUUAUCCGGAUUUAUUGGGUUUAAAGGGUGCGUAGGCGGGCAUUUAAGCCGGCGGUCAAAUGUCGGGGCUCAACCCCGGCCUGCCGUCGGAACUGGGUGCCUUGAGUGGGCGAGAAGUAUGCGGAAUGCGUGGUGUAGCGGUGAAAUGCAUAGAUAUCACGCAGAACUCCGAUUGCGAAGGCAGCAUACCGGCGCCCAACUGACGCUGAAGCACGAAAGCGUGGGUAUCGAACAGGAUUAGAUACCCUCGUA
rnacentral:rRNA from 1 species